CCUACGGGUGGCAGCAGUGGGGAAUAUUGCACAAUGGGGGAAACCCUGAUGCAGCGACGCCGCGUGAGUGAAGAAGUAUCUCGGUACGUAAAGCUCUAUCAGCAGGGAAGCAAAUGACGGUACCUGACUAAGAAGCACCGGCUAACUACGUGCCAGCAGCCGCGGUAAUACGUCGGGGGCAAGCGUUAUCCGGAUUUACUGGGGGUAAAGGGAGCGUAGACGGCAGCACAAGUGUGGAGUGAAAUCCCGGGGCUUAACCCCGGAACUGCUUUGGAAACUGUGCGGCUGGAGUGCAGGAGGGGUAAGCGGAAUUCCUAGUGUAGCGGUGAAAUGCGUAGAUAUUAGGAGGAACACCGGUGGCGAAGGCGGCUGACUGGACUGUAACUGACGUUGAGGCUCGAAAGCGUGGGGAGCAAACAGGAUUAGAUACCCCUGUAGUC
rnacentral:rRNA from 1 species